GAUGAACGCUGGCGGCGUGCCUAAUACAUGCAAGUCGAGCGAACAGAUGAGGAGCUUGCUCCUCUGACGUUAGCGGCGGACGGGUGAGUAACACGUGGAUAACCUACCUAUAAGACUGGGAUAACUUCGGGAAACCGGAGCUAAUACCGGAUAAUAUAUUGAACCGCAUGGUUCAAUAGUGAAAGACGGUUUUGCUGUCACUUAUAGAUGGAUCCGCGCCGCAUUAGCUAGUUGGUAAGGUAACGGCUUACCAAGGCAACGAUGCGUAGCCGACCUGAGAGGGUGAUCGGCCAAAAUGGAACUGAGACACGGUCCAGACUCCUACGGGAGGCAGCAGUAGGGAAUCUUCCGGAAAGGGCGAAAGCCUGAAGGAGCAACGCCGCGUGAGUGAUGAAGGUCUUCGGAUCGUAAAACUCUGUUAUUAGGGAAGAACAAAUGUGUAAGUAACUAUGCACGUCUUGACGGUACCUAAUCAGAAAGCCACGGCUAACUACGUG
rnacentral:rRNA from 1 species